CUGGAGGGAGUGACUCAACCCCUGUAAUAGGGUUAGAGGCAGAGAAUCCCAGUGGAGAUAGGGGAACCGGCCAGGCAGAGACAGCAAGGGCGGUUCAUUGCCUUUCCGUUCACCUUCACACUCCUGGGCCAGACUACACUCAGUCAUAGGAACUACUGAAGAGAUUAGUCUUCAAUAAAGACUUAAAGGUUGAGACCGAGUCUACGUCUCUCACAUGGUACAGGGCCUGAGUUUGGGGGGUUGAAAAUCCGUUCAGCCAUUGUGGCAUGGUGACUCACUACCCAAACCAGAUGCAACUGAUUUCAAGUGGCCAAGCGAAGACAUGUGAUCUCCUACCUCCAUCUAGUGGACGAACUGGGAAUCAGACAGAGGACAGCAGGUUGCACAGAUGACCAGCGCAGAGAGGGGCUUCACAGUAAUUUGUGAUAUCAGUGCAGCGGGACAGUAUGUACUGCCCCUCUUCAUCUUCCCCCGGAAGAGGAUGAACAAACAGCUGCUGGUUGGAGCAACUCCUGGGUCCGUUGGAAGGGUGAGUGACUCAGGUUGGGUCAACAGUACCAUCUUUGUCAACUGGCUCCACCACUUCACCCACAGUGUUGGUUGCGUCCCUGAUGGGCACCACUCCCAUAAGACCCUGGAGGCUGUUCUUACAGCAAGAGGCCAGGGAUCACUCUGCCACCCCACUGCAGCCACAAGAUGCAGCCAUUAGACCCUACCGUCUCCAAGGGUCUGAAGGCCUUUUCCAACAGGGAAGCAGAUCAGUGGAUGACGACCCAUCCUGGGAAAAGGAUCGGUAUAUCCCAAAUGGUUGGCCUCUUCGCAAAGGCCUAUAACAAGGUUUCCAGUGUGGAGAGAGGAGUGGAGGCCUUCCGGGCCAGUGGGCGGACUUCGUGGCCGUUAUAGAGGAGCAAUUAGCCCAUAAGAAAAAUGCAAAGAAUCCAUUCAACCACAGUGCUCUACUGCCGCCGCUGCCACCUCUGCCGAUACAGCCACCAGCUCUACCGCCGCCAUCACUAGCUCUACCUCUACCUCUACCUCCAACACAUCUACCUCCGCCACAACCUUCACCCUGCAGCCUACCCUUGCUCCAAAUGUUGCUGCAGCAGUCCUAUUGGAGUUGUCCCCGAGGCUCCAGGAGGCUAGGCCGAGGAAGACGAAGGCAGAGUCUGCGGCGGUACUGACAUAAACAAAAAGUAGAAACAUCAACAUCAAUAGAACAAGCCACAUCAGCCACUAAAGAAGGGGAUGUGGGGUGUCUUUUCUGUGAGGAGCUGUUUUCAGUCCCAGGUGGGGACUGGAUUAGGUGGGCUCAUGAGUUGUGAUCCAAUUUUACUGGAGCUUGAUUUGUGACCUGUGUACAAAUUAGAAUUGCGCAAUAGUAGAGCAUAAUAGUUGCAACAACAAUGUUACACUGAAUUAGUUAAGUUAUGAUUUAUUGUUUUUAAAUGUUAUAUUCCAAUGCUAUUUCAUUUUAUUAGUUAUAUUCCAUUCCAAUAUUAUAUUCCAAUGAAUAUUUAUUUUUUUAUGAAUUAAAAACAACUAUUGAAAAUCUUUUGCUCCAAAAUGUCAUUUUAAAGACUGCUGGGAUUUCAAAUCUUGCAUUAUUCCAAUAAUAUUUGGUGCAAUUGUACAUAAGGGAUUGUAUGGAAAAGGAACAACAAAGAAGAACAAAGAAAAUGUAUGUGCAGGUGAGAUAAAAAAGAGACUUUACAUCAAGUCUCCUCAUAGUGCGUAUACUAAUAGUGACAUGUGCAACACCAUUACCCCCAUAUAAUUAAACUAGACUUAGCAACUAGACUUAGCUUUUAAGGAUUUCUAAAUAAAACAGAUUUAAUUAAUUUUAACACACUUAUGGGAAACCGUAUGCCAUAAUCUUCUACCGGGGAAAAUGGCCCCCCGCGUACUUACCCCGUUACUUUAAAAGAAAAACACCCCUUUUCUAAAAACAACAUUUCAUGAAAUAGCUAAAAAAAACUGUAAACUGCAGCCAUUUAUUUCUCUUUAUAGUGUAUUCGGCUAAGCAUGACCUUCCUCCACAUACCAU
rnacentral:lncRNA from 1 species